rnacentral:rRNA from 1 species
CCUACGGGAGGCUGCAGUGGGGGAUAUUGGACAAUGGGGGGAACCCUGAUCCAGCGACGCCGCGUGAGUGAAGAAGUAUUUCGGUAUGUAAAGCUCUGUCAGCAGGGAAGAAAGCAAUGACGGUACCUGACCAAGAAGCUCCGGCUAACUUCGUGCCAGCAGCCGCGGUAAUACGGAGGGGGCAAGCGUUAUCCGGAAUUACUGGGUGUAAAGGGAGCGUAGACGGCUGUGCAAGUCUGGAGUGAAAGGCGGGGGCUCAACCCACGGACUGCUCUGGAAACUGUAUGGCUGGAGUGCAGGAGAGGUGAGCGGAAUUCCUAAUGUAGCGGUGAAAUGCGUAGAUAUUAGGAGGAACACCAGUGGCGAAGGCGGCUUACUGGACUGUAACUGACGUUGAGGCUCGAAAGCGUGGGGAGCAAACAGGAUUAGAUACCCGGGUAGUU